UUCUCGCCGGAGCUUGGGGAAGGAAGUCGCUCCGCGGAGGUCUGAGGGAAGAGCUCGCGCCAGGUAGACGCCGCGCCGUCAUCAUGGGCAAGGGUGACCCCAACAAGCCGCGGGGCAAAAUGUCCUUGUACGCCUUCUUCGUGCAGACCUGCCGGGAGGAGCACAAGAAGCAUCCCGACUCGUCGGUCAACUUCACCGAGUUCUCCAAGAAAUGCUCGGAGAGAUGGAAGACCAUGUCUGCAAAGGAAAAGUCGAAGUUUGAAGAUUUGGCCAAGAGCGACAAAGCUCGUUAUGACAGGGAGAUGAAGAACUAUGUGCCUCCCAAAGGUGAUAAGAAAGGAAAGAAAAAAGAUCCAAAUGCUCCGAAGAGACCACCGUCUGCCUUCUUCCUGUUUUGCUCUGAACAUCGCCCAAAGAUCAAAAGUGAACAUCCUGGCCUGUCUAUUGGAGAUACUGCAAAGAAACUGGGCGAGAUGUGGUCUGAGCAAUCUGCCAAAGAUAAACAACCGUAUGAGCAGAAAGCAGCUAAACUAAAGGAGAAGUAUGAAAAGGAUAUUGCUGCAUACUGUGCCAAGGGCAAAAGUGAAGUAGGAAAGAAGGGUCCUGGUAGGCCAAUAGGCUCAAAGAAGAAGAAUGAACCAGAAGAUGAGGAAGAAGAAGAGGAGGAAGAAGAUGAUGAAGAUGAGGAGGAGGAAGAUGAGGAUGAAGAAUAAGUGGCUGUCCUAAAGUGUGGAGUAUAUGUGCUCAGGCAAUUAUUUUGCUAAGAAUGUGAAAUUCAAGUGCAGCUCAACAUUAGCUUCAGUAUAAAAACUGUACAGAUUUUUGUAUAGCUGAUGAGAUUCUUUGUAGAGAAAAUACUUUUUAAAAAGAGUUUGUAGCUUUUUCAGGGGCUACAACGUACAGUUAGAUUUAAAGCUUUUGAUGUUGAAUGUUUCUAAAUAUUUAAUGGUUUCUUUAAUUUCUUAUGGUAGCAAAAAAAACUUCAUAGGAAUUUGUAUUACCAGUAAAAAGAAUUUUUUUUAGGAUGUUGCAUUUUUUUUGUUUUCUUUUUUUAAAUUUGUAAUAAAAUAAUGUAUAUUAA